AUUGAACGCUGGCGGCAUGCCUUACACAUGCAAGUCGAACGGUAACAGGUCUUCGGAUGCUGACGAGUGGCGAACGGGUGAGUAAUACAUCGGAACGUGCCUAGUAGUGGGGGAUAACUACUCGAAAGAGUGGCUAAUACCGCAUGAGAUCUACGGAUGAAAGCAGGGGAUCGCAAGACCUUGUGCUACUACAGCGGCCGAUGGCAGAUUAGGUAGUUGGUGGGAUAAAAGCUUACCAAGCCGACGAUCUGUAGCUGGUCUGAGAGGACGAUCAGCCACACUGGGACUGAGACACGGCCCAGACUCCUACGGGAGGCAGCAGUGGGGAAUUUUGGACAAUGGGCGAAAGCCUGAUCCAGCAAUGCCGCGUGCAGGACGAAGGCCUUCGGGUUGUAAACUGCUUUUGUACGGAACGAAAAGCUCUGGGUUAAUACCCUGGGGUCAUGACGGUACCGUAAGAAUAAGCACCGGCUAACUACGUGCCAGCCGCCGCAGUAAUAC
rnacentral:rRNA from 1 species